rnacentral:lncRNA from 1 species
GCUCAUUUUGUAAGCAGAGGUUCAGAGUCUCUUCCCCAGAGCCCGUGCUAAGAAGACAAGCAGCACGUGUGAUGCUGUGUGCUGUGAAGCCAGCACAGGCAUGGCAGGCAGUUGGCUGGUCAGGGGCUUCUGCAGGGAGAGGCGAUUGUUGCCAAACUGGACAACACAAGCUCACUUUCCAGGGCCUGUGUGAUCGAAGGAGGUGACUGACAUGUGCAAACUUCCUCUAACUCUUGAAAGCCCUCUUGGGCUCUUCUGAGUCACUCACCACAGAAACUUGGC